GUAACAAGGUCUCCGUUGGUGAACCAGCGGAGGGAUCAUUACUGAGUUACAAACUCCAAACCUUUGUGAACAUACCACAGUUGCUUCGGCGGCCUCGCCCCGGGCGCGGCGGAACCCUUCGGGGGACCGCGGCGACCCGGACCCAGGCGACCGCCGGGGGACCCAAACUCUUGUCUUUUAGUGUAUUAUCUGAGUGGCAUAAGCAAAAUAAAUCAAAACUUUCAGCAACGGAUCUCUUGGUUCUGGCAUCGAUGAAGAACGCAGCGAAAUGCGAUAAGUAAUGUGAAUUGCAGAAUUCAGUGAAUCAUCGAAUCUUUGAACGCACAUUGCGCCCGCCAGUACUCUGGCGGGCAUGCCUGUCCGAGCGUCAUUUCAACCCUCAGCACCCCCGUUCGCGGCGGGAGCUGGCGUUGGGGAUCGGCCGUCCUCUGCGGCGGCCGGCCCCGAAACGAAGUGGCGGUCACGUCGCGACCUCCUCUGCGUAGUAGCAAUAUCUCGCAGCCUGGAUAGCGGCGCGGCCAUGCCGUAAAACCCCAACUAUAUCAAGGUUGACCUCGGAUCAGGUAGGAAUACCCGCUGAACUUAAGCAUAUCA
rnacentral:misc_RNA from 1 species